AUUGAACGCUGGCGGCAUGCCUAACACAUGCAAGUCGAACGAGUGGCGGACGGGUGAGUAAUGUCUGUGAAUCUCCCUGUUGGAGGGGGAUAACUUCUGGAAACGGUAGCUAAUACCGCAUACCAUCAGAUGUGCCCAGAUGGGAGUAGCUAGUUGGUGGGGUAACGGCUCACCAAGGCGACGAUCCCUAGCUGGUCUGAGAGGAUGAGCAGCAACACUGGAACUGAGACACGGUCCAGACUACUACGGGAGGCAGAAGUGGGGAAUAUUGCACAAGGGGCGAAAGCCUGAUGCAGCCAUGCCGCGUGUAUGAAGAAGGCCGUCGGGUUGUAAAGUACUUUCAGUGGGGAGGCGUUACCCGCAGAAGAAGCACCGGCUAACUCCGUGCCAGCAGCCGCGGUAAUAC
rnacentral:rRNA from 1 species